AAAAGUCUUACCUUUACAAACUUUGCAACAGCUAUGAGACAAGGUAAUCUGAUGAGACUCUGGACAGUCCAAAGUGGGACAGCCUAAACUCUCCACCAGCUUCAUGGUCUGCUCCUUACACUCAUACAGAACAUA